UGUCUACCGUGUUAUCAGCAGCGCGAGAGAUGACCUUGCAGGGCCUCUUAUGUGUAACAAACCGAGCGUAUAUAUCCCAGUGGGGUGUAAAUUGGAACCUACAUUUGAGGCGACGCACUAUGGCGCAAUAUGUGUAUUAUCAUGAACUGGAUUGAAGGGAAUGGUAAUUGAUAACCACAAUGAUCAUAAGUGCAUCGCAGAUCGUGUACCGUGUAGAGAAGACAGAAGCUGCAGAAAAGGAUGGAAUUGCUUUCAAUCAAGCGACAGACAACACACAAAGAGAGCGUCCCAGAUGGAACCAUCAUGACCUGGCUUUAUGCAGCGAGUCCAGUUGAUGGAAAUUGUAGUGCCAUUCAAUGCCAGCCAUUACCGUUACCGGCUCCCGAAGCAGAGCGUCUCGAACAUGAAAUGAUAGUUCGCGUCUGCUACGCACUUUGAAUUUGUUUCUGCGGCUCCUCUUGGUUCCGAACCAUGGUCAUCUGCCAGACCACCGAGCAUCAUGGUCAUGGUCUACACACAAUCCACAUCACACGUGAACCCCCUGUUUGUGAGCCGUGUGCUGUGAGAAAGACCCUGGCCCGACGGUCCAGUCAGCUAGCGGUCCUGCGGUUUAAACGUGUGUCCAACUGUCAUACCCUUUUCCUUUACCCUUUCCUCUUGCGUUCUCUAGCUGAACGCCCUUAAGCGUUCUCAGUGUCACGUCACGUAGGUAAGGUUUUCGUAGCCGGGUUUCGUCUCGGUUGAUGCCGCUAAAAAUAGACGCAAUGUGCA